AAAACAUGCCUACGGGAGGCAGCAGUGGGGAAUAUUGGACAAUGGGGGCAACCCUGAUCCAGCCAUGCCGCGUGUGUGAAGAAGGCCUUCGGGUUGUAAAGCACUUUCAGCGGGGAGGAAGGCUUCUGGUGAAUAACCAGGAGUACUUGACGUUACCCGCAGAAGAAGCACCGGCAAAUUUCGUGCCAGCAGCCGCGGUAAUACGAAAGGUGCGAGCGUUAAUCGGAAUUACUGGGCGUAAAGCGUGCGUAGGCGGCCUUUUAAGUCGGAUGUGAAAGCCCCGGGCUCAACCUGGGAGGGUCAUCUGAUACUGAGAGGCUAGAGUGUGGUAGAGGGAGGU
rnacentral:rRNA from 1 species